rnacentral:tRNA from 1 species
AGCGGGUAUAGUUUAGUG